GACGAACGCUAGCGGCAGGCCUAACACAUGCAAGUCGAGGGGCAUCAUGGCGUAGCAAUACGCUGAUGGCGACCGGCGCACGGGUGCGUAACGCGUAUGGAACCUACCCACCGCAGGGGGAUAACCCGCCGAAAGGCGGACUAAUACCCCAUGGUUCCCCGACCCUGCCUGGGGUUGGGGGUAAAGCCUACGGGCGGCGGUGGAUGGCCCUGCGUGCCAUUAGCUGGCUAGUGGGGUAACGGCCCACCAGGGCGACGAUGGCUAGGGGGUCUGAGAGGACGAUCCCCCACACUGGUACUGAGACACGGACCAGACUCCUACGGGAGGCAGCAGUGAGGAAUAUUGGUCAAUGGGCGGAAGCCUGAACCAGCCAUGCCGCGUGCAGGAUGACGGCCCUACGGGUUGUAAACUUCUUUACUACGCGAAUAGAGGUUAGUACGAGAUACUAAUAGGAAGGUAGUGUAGUAAAAGCACCGGCUAACUCCGUG
rnacentral:rRNA from 1 species